CACGUGUCAUAAGGUUCCGGUAUGUGAAAACAUACUUUAGAGGGACUAAAAGUGACAAACAGUGAAAACUAUGGAACGUAAGGGUCCAAAGUGCUCUAUGAUAACCCUACAUAAUGUUUAUAACCUUAAACGGGUGGUUCAUGGAUCAUACGACGCGGAAAUUGCACAAAAGUGAGGAAUUACAAACUAUAGGGGCCAAAAGUGUCAACAUGUUGAAUUUAUACCUCUGAGUGAACUCUUGGCAGACCCGAAGCUUUGAGAAGCUAAAAUAUACUCACUAGAAUAUGUGGUUAAAAUUUCGUGAAGUUUCGUCAACGUAUGAGAAAGUUAUGGCCAAAACCGUACUUGAAGGACUAAAAGCGUCAACGUCGAAUUUCAUGGCUUUUCGGUUGAGCGCAAAAUUAUCCGAGGACAUUACCAUGUUGGUAAAAGUCCUAAGGUUCCUAAAAACCAAGUUUGGGGGUUUACGGGUCAAGAUA
rnacentral:lncRNA from 1 species